rnacentral:rRNA from 1 species
AUUGAACGCUGGCGGCAGGCCUAACACAUGCAAGUCGAACGGUAACAGGAAACAGCUUGCUGUUUCGCUGACGAGUGGCGGACGGGUGAGUAAUGUCUGGGAAACUGCCUGAUGGAGGGGGAUAACUACUGGAAACGGUAGCUAAUACCGCAUAACGUCGCAAGACCAAAGAGGGGGACCUUCGGGCCUCUUGCCAUCGGAUGUGCCCAGAUGGGAUUAGCUAGUAGGUGGGGUAACGGCCCACCUAGGCGACGAUCCCUAGCUGGUCUGAGAGGAUGACCAGCCACACUGGAACUGAGACACGGUCCAGACUCCUACGGGAGGCAGCAGUGGGGAAUAUUGCACAAUGGGCGCAAGCCUGAUGCAGCCAUGUCGCGUGUAUGAAGAAGGCCUUCGGGUUGUAAAGUACUUUCAGCGGGGAGGAAGGGAGUAAAGUUAAUACCUUUGCUCAUUGACGUUACCCGCAGAAGAAGCACCGGCUAACUCCGUGCCAGCCGCCGCUGUAA